CGGAAGAGAUCGCAGCGCAGAAGAUACGCGGCGCCGAAGGGGAAGCAGAAACUCUCAGGCAAAAGGACCGGAU
rnacentral:ncRNA from 1 species